rnacentral:rRNA from 1 species
UCAGGACGAACGCUGGCGGCGUGCUUAACACAUGCAAGUCGAGCGGUAAGGCCCUUCGGGGUACACGAGCGGCGAACGGGUGAGUAACACGUGGGUGAUCUGCCCUGCACUUCGGGAUAAGCCUGGGAAACUGGGUCUAAUACCGGAUAUGACCUUCGGCUGCAUGGCUGAGGGUGGAAAGGUUUACUGGUGCAGGAUGGGCCCGCGGCCUAUCAGCUUGUUGGUGGGGUAAUGGCCUACCAAGGCGACGACGGGUAGCCGACCUGAGAGGGUGACCGGCCACACUGGGACUGAGACACGGCCCAGACUCCUACGGGAGGCAGCAGUGGGGAAUAUUGCACAAUGGGCGAAAGCCUGAUGCAGCGACGCCGCGUGAGGGAUGACGGCCUUCGGGUUGUAAACCUCUUUCAGCAGGGACGAAGCGAAAGUGACGGUACCUGCAGAAGAGCC